UGGCGGUUGACGGCAACGUU
rnacentral:siRNA from 1 species